CGGAGGUACUGGUACUAGUAGCUUCUUCUGAGUCUUCUUCUUAUGCAAUUUUCGAUCCCUAACAGCAUUGCAGAAGGAAAUUCCAUGGAGGGUGCCCCCAAUAGGGAAGCCAGUCCCCAAAAUCCACCAUUCUCUUGUUCUUCGCUAUCCGCAAAACUUCAACCUCCGUUAUGCUCUUGCUAUCGUGAAGGUGCAUGUGUGACAGGUAAAUGUCUACUUCAAGUAAUUGCAGCACACCUAAAAUUAUCAAGAACAAAUGUAUAAAAUGCAAAGGCAACAGAAAAGUAGUGAUUAAGAUCUUAGAGACUGUCCAUAACCAAACUGACUUUUUAUAGCAUUGGGAUUUAUUAUAUUGACUCAUAUUGAAUCUAAUGGCUUACUGAAAGUUUUCACAAAAUAAAAUAAAAAAUAAAAAAUAAAAAAUAAAAAACCUUAUUGAAAACAUUGUGUGAUCUAAACCCUUCGUGGUGUCCUCUCCCCUUAAAGCUUCUUCCCCUAAUGAACAAAGACCAAUAGACACAGAAAACAGAGAAAAAGGGGGAGGUGAAGAAUGAGUUUGUAUCCAAGGAAUAGGAAAAGGUAAAACGAGUUUGAGUAGGAAAUGGGACAACAUUACCCUGGAUUGGAGCUUCAACACACUUCACAGACCAAUCGCCCUUGCACAACCAUUGUGAUGGGAUGAUCAACACAGCUCAAGGAGCUUAUCUUCAACUCUGAAAAUGCAAAACCCUGAAAACAAAAACACAACUGCUUCAACUCCAUAGCUUCAUCAUCAGAGGGUGGCACACUGAUUUGCAAUGGACUCAACGGAGGUGCAUGUCAUGACCCAAGAAUACGACAAGUACCAAAUCCGCCUGGGAGAUAGGUGGGGUGUUCCCACCAAGAAUACGGCAAGUACCAGGGGGUUUGGGAGAUCUGUAAGGAUUUGCAAACUUUAGUUCCACAUAGCCUAGAGAGAGAUUAUUGGGCUAGUUAAUAACCUCUACUCUCCUUAACAUGGCACAAUGCGUUUUAACAUCUUGAGGCCCAUGGGCUAAAGAGGACAAUAUUGUGCAAGGUUAAUUGAGUCGAGGCAUUAUAAUUGACAUCAGAGCAGACCUCGACAGUGUGUAGGGCCAUAGCAGGGACACUGUGCUGAAAGGGGGAAAGUGUGACGACCCAAGAAUACGACAUGUACCAAACCCGCCUGAGAAAUUGGUGAGGUGUCCCCACCAAGAAUACGGCAAGUACCAGGGGUGUUUCUUGAUUAUUGUGCAAUGUAUUUUGGGGUUUAAAAUAAAAUAGUACAUCUUGUGUCA